rnacentral:rRNA from 1 species
UGGGGAAUAUUGCACAAUGGAGGGAACUCUGAUGCAGCGACGCCGCGUGAGUGAUGAAGGAAUUCGUUUCGUAAAACUCUGUACUAUGGGAAGAAAAGGACUGUACCAUAGGAGAAAGCUCCGGCUAAAUACGUGCCAGCAGCCGCGGUAAUACGUAUGGAGCGAGCGUUGUCCGGAAUUAUUGGGCGUAAAGGGUGCGCAGGCGGCUUUACAAGUUGGAUGUGAAAUAUUGUGGCUCAACCACAAACGUGCAUCCAAAACUGCAAAGCUUGAGUUAAGGAGAGGUAAGUGGAAUUCCUGGUGUAGCGGUGGAAUGCGUAGAUAUCAGGAGGAAUACCGGUGGCGAAGGCGACUUACUGGACUUAAACUGACGCUCAGGCACGAAAGCGUGGGGAGCAAACAGG